rnacentral:tRNA from 1 species
GCCCUCGUAAUAUAGUGGAUAGUAUACGGGGCUUCGGACCCUGAAACCCGGGUUCAAAUCCCGGCGAGGGCG